rnacentral:rRNA from 1 species
UACGGAGGGGGCGAGCGUUAUUCGGAAUUAUUGGGCGUAAAGGGCGCGUAGGCGGCCUUGUAAGUCAAAGGUGAAAUCCCUCGGCUCAACUGAGGAACUGCCUUUGAAACUGCAAGGCUUGAGGCCGGGAGGGGGUAGCGGAAUUCCCAAUGUAGCGGUGAAAUGCGUAGAUAUUGGGAGGAACACCAGUGGCGAAGGCGGCUACCUGGACCGGUUCUGACGCUGAGGAGCGAAAGCCAGGGGAGCAAACGGG